rnacentral:rRNA from 1 species
GAUGAACGCUGGCGGCGUGCCUAAUACAUGCAAGUCGAGCGAACAGACGAGGAUCUUGCUCCUCUGACGUUAGCGGCGGACGGGUGAGUAACACGUGGAUAACCUACCUAUAAGACUGGGAUAACCUCGGGAAACCGGAGCUAAUACCGGAUAAUAUAUUGAACCGCAUGGUUCAAUAGUGAAAGACGGUUUUGCGGUCACUAAUAGAUGGAUCCGCGCCGCAUUAGCUAGUUGGUAAGGUAACGGCUUACCAAGGCAACGAGGCGUAGCCGACCUGAGAGGGUGAUCGGCCACACUGGAACUGAGACACGGUCCAGACUCCUACGGGAGGCAGCAGUAGGGAAUCUUCCGCAAUGGGCGAAAGCCUGACGGAGCAACGCCGCGUGAGUGAUGAAGGUCUUCGGAUCGUAAAACUCUGUUAUUAGGGAAGAACAAAUGUGUAAGUAACUAUGCACGUCUUGACGGUACCUAAUCAGAAAGCCACGGCUAACUACGUG